rnacentral:rRNA from 1 species
CACGUAGGGCGCAAGCGUUGUCCGGAAUUAUUGGGCGUAAAGAGCUCGUAGGCGGACUGUCACGUCCGCUGUGAAAAGCUAGGGCUUAACCCUGGCCUUGCAGUGGAUACGGGCAGACUAGAGGUAGGUAGGGGAGAAUGGAAUUCCCGGUGUAGCGGUGAAAUGCGCAGAUAUCGGGAGGAACACCGGUGGCGAAGGCGGCGACCUGGGUAGAUACUGACGCUGAGGUGCGAAAGCGUGGGGAGCAAACAGG